rnacentral:snoRNA from 1 species
UUUUUUAAUGAUGACUGAAUAAAUAAUAUAUGGGUAAUUUACGUCUGAAAAUUAUUGAUGAAUAUUAUAGUAUCUGAAAAAAAAAA